GAUGAAGAACGUAGCGAAAUGCGAUAAGUAAUGCGAAUUGCAGAAUUUCCGUGAGUCAUCGAAUCUUUGAACGCACAUUGCGCCCACUGGUAUUCUGGCGGGCAUGCCUGUUCGAGCGUCAUUUUCACCAUCAAGCUCUGCUUGUGUUGGGGUCCUGCGGCUGCCCGCAGGCCCUGAAACCCAGUGGCGGGCUCGCUAGUCACACCGAGCGCAGUAGCACAUCUCGCUCAGGGCGUGCGGCGGGUUCUUGCCGUAAAACAACCCCCCCUUUUCACCAAGGUUGACCUCGGAUCAGGUAGGAAUACCCGCUGAACUUAAGCAUAUCAUAAGCGGAGGA
rnacentral:misc_RNA from 1 species